rnacentral:rRNA from 1 species
GAGGAGCGUUCUGUAAGCCUGUGAAGGUGUGUCGUGAGGCAUGCUGGAGGUAUCAGAAGUGCGAAUGCUGACAUGAGUAACGAUAAUGCGGGUGAAAAACCCGCACGCCGAAAACCCAAGGGUUCCUACGCAACGUUAAUCGGCGUAGGGUGAGUCGGCCCCUAAGGCGAGACCGAAAGGUGUAGUCGAUGGGAAACUGGUUAACAUUCCAGUACUUUGUGUUACUGCGAUGGAGGGACGGAGAAGGCUAGAUCUACCGGGCGUUGGUUGUCCCGGGGAAAGUACGUAGGCAGAGGGCUUAGGCAAAUCCGGGCUCUUAAUGCUGAGAUACGAGACGACCGGUCUUUGUACCGGAAAGUGGUCGAUGCCAUGCUUCCAGGAAAAUCUUCUAAGCUUCAGGUAACACAGAACCGUACCGUAAACCGACACAGGUGGGUGAGGAGAGAAUCCUAAGGCGCUUGAGAAAACUCUGGUGAAGGAACUAGGCAAAUUGGUACCGUAACUUCGGGAGAAGGUACGCCCCUGCUGGUGAUGAGACUUGCUCUCUAAGCUGGUGGGGGUUGCAGUGACCAGGUGGCUGCGACUGUUUAUUAAAAACACAGCACUCUGCAAACACGAAAGUGGACGUAUAGGGUGUGACGCCUGCCCGGUGCUGGAAGGUUAAUUGAUGAGGUUAGUCUUCGGACGAAGCUUUUGAUCGAAGCCCCAGUAAACGGCGGCCGUAACUAUAACGGUCCUAAGGUAGCGAAAUUCCUUGUCGGGUAAGUUCCGACCUGCACGAAUGGCGUAACGAUGGCCACACUGUCUCCACCAGAGACUCAGUGAAAUUGAAAUCGCUGUGAAGAUGCAGCGUACCCGCGGCUAGACGGAAAGACCCCGUGCACCUUUACUAUAGCUUUACACUGAAUUUUGAAUCUGUUUGUGUAGGAUAGGUGGGAGGCUUUGAAGCGUGAUCGCCAGAUUGCGUGGAGCCAACCUUGAAAUACCACCCUGAUAUAUUUGGAGUUCUAACCUCGGUCCAUUAUCUGGAUCAGGGACCGUGUAUGGUGGGUAGUUUGACUGGGGCGGUCUCCUCCCAAAGAGUAACGGAGGAGCGCAAAGGUACUCUCAGUACGGUCGGACAUCGUACGUUGCGUGCAAAGGCAUAAGAGUGCUUGACUGCGAGACAGACACGUCGAGCAGGGGCGAAAGCCGGUCUUAGUGAUCCGGUGGUUCUGUAUGGAAGGGCCAUCGCUCAACGGAUAAAAGGUACGCCGGGGAUAACAGGCUGAUUCCUCCCAAGAGUCCACAUCGACGGAGGAGUUUGGCACCUCGAUGUCGGCUCAUCACAUCCUGGGGCUGUAGCAGGUCCCAAGGGUAUGGCUGUUCGCCAUUUAAAGUGGUACGCGAGCUGGGUUUAGAACGUCGUGAGACAGUUCGGUCCCUAUCUGCCGUGGGCGUUGGAAAUUUGAGAAGAGCUGCUCCUAGUACGAGAGGACCGGAGUGGACGUAUCUCUGGUGUUCCGGUUGUCACGCCAGUGGCAUUGCCGGGUAGCUAUAUACGGACGGGAUAACCGCUGAAAGCAUCUAAGCGGGAAGCCCCCUUCAAGAUUAGAUUUCCCUGGACCCUUGAGGUCCCUGAAGAGCCCUCGAAGACUACGAGGUUGAUAGGCUGGGUGUGGAAGCGUAGUAAUGCGUGAAGCUAACCAGUACUAAUUGCUCGUGCGGCUUGGCCAU